rnacentral:rRNA from 1 species
CUGGGGAGCUUGCUCCGCAGUGAUCAGUGGCGAACGGGUGAGUAACACGUGAGUAACCUGCCCCAGACUCUGGGAUAACUUCGGGAAACCGGAGCUAAUACCGGAUAUGACACGGAGAUGCAUGUCUACCGUGUGGAAAGUUUUUCGGUCUGGGAUGGGCUCGCGGCCUAUCAGCUUGUUGGUGAGGUAAUGGCUCACCAAGGCGACGACGGGUAGCCGGCCUGAGAGGGCGACCGGCCACACUGGGACUGAGACACGGCCCAGACUCCUACGGGAGGCAGCAGUGGGGAAUAUUGCACAAUGGGCGAAAGCCUGAUGCAGCGACGCCGCGUGAGGGAUGACGGCCUUUGGGUUGUAAACCUCUUUCAGCAGGGAAGAAGCGCAAGUGACGGUACCUGCAGAAGAAGCACCGGCUAACUACGUGCCAGCAGCCGCGGUAAUACGUAGGGUGCGAGCGUUGUCCGGAAUUAUUGGGCGUAAAGAGCUUGUAGGCGGUCUGUCGCGUCUGCUGUGAAAAUCCGGGGCUCAACCCCGGACUUGCAGUGGGUACGGGCAGACUAGAGUGUGGUAGGGGAGACUGGAAUUCCUGGUGUAGCGGUGAAAUGCGCAGAUAUCAGGAGGAACACCGAUGGCGAAGGCAGGUCUCUGGGCCAUAACUGACGCUGAGAAGCGAAAGCAUGGGGAGCGAACAGGAUUAGAUACCCUGGUAGUCCAUGCCGUAAACGUUGGGAACUAGGUGUGGGUCUCAU